UCCAAAUCUUUAUAACAUCUGUUAAACUAUUCGAGUGGCACGCUGAUUGGAUGAUAACAUGGACCUUACAUGGGCACGCUGGUGAAUAUAUGCAAGAAUGCCCUUCAAUAUAUGUAUCCUCUCUCUUCCUCCACAUCUCUCUCCUGCGUCGUGGCGCACCCAAGCCUGCACGGCACCGGCGACGUGGCCCUGGGCGUGCCCCUCACCGCGGGGCCCGUGGUCGCGAGGGCCGGAGCCGGGAGAGUGCCGGCCGCCGGAGUUCUGCCCCGCCCCUGCGGUCGAUUGCAGGAUUAAAUCGCCGGCCCGCUCCAGCAGCGGUGGAUCAGAGAGGAGCUCGUCAACACGGACUCUGUCAAAAUCCGAGCGGCCAGAGCACGAUUCCGACCAGCUCCAUGGCGGAGGCAGCACCGGCUUCGCAGCGGAGGCCGAGACGGGCGCGAGCGGCGCGCCCAUCAUAGCGAGGAGGAGGAGGAGGCAGAGGUCAGAGCAGUGGAACGACCCAUCGUUGGCGCCCGGCAUCAGCGGAGUACGGGCCGGUGCGCAGGAAGGAGGAAGUGGAACGCCAACGAGCGGUGGGAGACGGCGAACCUGGGCCGACGCGCCUCGUCAUGACCUCCCAUGUGCAGCGUCGUCGCUGGAAGGGAUCAGGGGAAGAAAGGGGGAGAGAGGAAGAGCUGACAAAUGGGUCCCACAUGUCAGGUCCAUGUCAUCGCCUAGUCAGUGUGUCACUCGGACGGUUUAACGGAUGUUUUGAAGAUUUGGACCUAUAUGAUACAAUUAGCAAUUAGCAAGUUUGAGGGUUUGAAAAUAUAUUUUAAAAUUUGAGGAUUUAAAAAUAUAUUUUGAAAUUUUGGAAGCUAGAUGAUAUAGCCGGAUAAAUUCAUAUACGGCUCAUGUAUUUUACUCCCGAGCCAAGCCUCUAAAGUAGGUCCAGCAGGCUAAAAGGGAGCUCGGGAUUAGCUU